rnacentral:rRNA from 1 species
AACGGGUGAGUAAUAUAGUCGGAACGUGCCCAGUCGUGGGGGAUAACGUAGCGAAAGCUACGCUAAUACCGCAUACGAUCUAUGGAUGAAAGCGGGGGAUCGCAAGACCUCGCGCGAUUGGAGCGGCCGAUAUCAGAUUAGGUAGUUGGUGAGGUAAAGGCUCACCAAGCCGACGAUCUGUAGCUGGUCUGAGAGGACGACCAGCCACACUGGGACUGAGACACGGCCCAGACUCCUACGGGAGGCAGCAGUGGGGAAUUUUGGACAAUGGGCGCAAGCCUGAUCCAGCAAUGCCGCGUGCAGGAUGAAGGCCUUCGGGUUGUAAACUGCUUUUGUACGGAACGAAACGGUGAGCUCUAAUACAGUUUGCUAAUGACGGUACCAUAAGAAUAAGCACCGGCUAACUACGUG